UCGUCACACUAUCAUUAACUGAAUCCAUAGGUUAAUGAGGCGAACCGGGGGAACUGAAACAUCUAAGUACCCCGAGGAAAAGAAAUCAACCGAGAUUCCCCCAGUAGCGGCGAGCGAACGGGGAGGAGCCCAGAGCCUGAAUCAGCAUGUGUGUUAGUGGAAGCGUCUGGAAAGGCGCGCGAUACAGGGUGACAGCCCCGUACACAAAAGCGCAUGUGCUGUGAGCUCGAUGAGUAGGGCGGGACACGUGAUAUCCUGUCUGAAUAUGGGGGGACCAUCCUCCAAGGCUAAAUACUCCUGACUGACCGAUAGUGAACCAGUACCGUGAGGGAAAGGCGAAAAGAACCCCGGCGAGGGGAGUGAAAAAGAACCUGAAACCGUGUACGUACAAGCAGUGGGAGCACCCUUUGGGGUGUGACUGCGUACCUUUUGUAUAAUGGGUCAGCGACUUAUAUUCUGUAGCAAGGUUAACCGAAUAGGGGAGCCGGAGGGAAACCGAGUCUUAACCGGGCGUUAAGUUGCAGGGUAUAGACCCGAAACCCGGUGAUCUAGCCAUGGGCAGGUUGAAGGUUGGGUAACACUAACUGGAGGACCGAACCGACUAAUGUUGAAAAAUUAGCGGAUGACCUGUGGCUGGGGGUGAAAGGCCAAUCAAACCGGGAGAUAGCUGGUUCUCCCCGAAAGCUAUUUAGGUAGCGCCUCGUGAAUUCAUCUCCGGGGGUAGAGCACUGUUUCGGCUAGGGGGCCAUCCCGGCUUACCAACCCGAUGCAAACUGCGAAUACCGGAGAAUGUUAUCACGGGAGACACACGGCGGGUGCUAACGUCCGUCGUGAAGAGGGAAACAACCCAGACCGCCAGCUAAGGUCCCAAAGUCAUAGUUAAGUGGGAAACGAUGUGGGAAGGCCCAGACAGCCAGGAUGUUGGCUUAGAAGCAGCCAUCAUUUAAAGAAAGCGUAAUAGCUCACUGGUCGAGUCGGCCUGCGCGGAAGAUGUAACGGGGCUAAAC
rnacentral:rRNA from 1 species